rnacentral:rRNA from 1 species
CUACGGGGCGCUGCAGUGAGGAAUAUUGCACAAUUGGUUUAACCCUGUUUCCUCAACUCCUCGUGGAGGAUGACGCAUUUCGGUGUGUAAACUCCUUUUAUAUGUCAAGAAAAUGACGGUAGCAUAUGAAUAAGCACCGGCUAACUCCGUGCCAGCAGCCGCGGUAAUACGGAGGGUGCAAGCGUUACUCGGAAUCACUGGGCGUAAAGGACGCGUAGGCGGGCUUGUAAGUCAGGUGUGAAAUCCUACAGCUUAACUGUAGAACUGCACUUGAAACUACGAGCCUAGAGUAUGGGAGGGGCAGAUGGAAUUAGUGGUGUAGGGGUAAAAUCCGUAGAUAUCACUAGGAAUACCUAAAGCGAAGGCGAUCUCCUGGAACAUUACUGACGCUAAGGCGUGAAAGCGUGGGGAGCAAACAGGAUUAGAUACCCGAGUAGUC